rnacentral:misc_RNA from 1 species
GGAGUCGUUUGUUCCGUGGCGUAAGAUCGAGCAUCCGGAUUUUCCCGGCAAAAACGUUGAAGUCGGUGGCUAUGCUCCGUUUGCGCGAUCGAAUCCGCCGGAGCGUUUGCUGGAAGGUUUGGCGCAAAAGCAUGGCCUUUUCCUGACGCAACUGGCUGAGAAAUUUCCCGAAUUGCGCGUGCGACAAACGAAAGUGAAGAAUCUCGGCAACGGGGUAUUCGACAUUACCGUGCAGAUCGAGAACAGCGGGUAUCUUCCGACAGCGCUGGUCCAGGGAGGGGUUACGCGCGAGGUGCACCCAACGCUCGUUGAACUGAAAGUCGAUGAUAAGGCGAUUCUGU